AUUGAACGCUGGCGGCAUGCUUUACACAUGCAAGUCGAACGGUAACAGGCCUUCGGGUGCUGACGAGUGGCGAACGGGUGAGUGAUGCAUCGGAACGUACCCAGAGGUGGGGGAUAACGCAGCGAAAGCUGUGCUAAUACCGCAUGUGAUCUGAGGAUGAAAGCGGGGGACCGAGCAGCAAUGUUUGGCCUCGCGCCUUUGGAGCGGCCGAUGUCGGAUUAGCUAGUUGGUGGGGUAAAGGCCUACCAAGGCGACGAUCCGUAGCUGGUCUGAGAGGACGACCAGCCACACUGGGACUGAGACACGGCCCAGACUCCUACGGGAGGCAGCAGUGGGGAAUUUUGGACAAUGGGCGCAAGCCUGAUCCAGCAAUGCCGCGUGCGGGAAGAAGGCCUUCGGGUUGUAAACCGCUUUUGGCAGGAACGAAACGGUGUCCGCUAAUACCGGGCGCUAAUGACGGUACCUGCAGAAUAAGCACCGGCUAACUACGUG
rnacentral:rRNA from 1 species